AUACCUGUUUACACUUUAUAUGGACCAAAAAACAAGCUACUUUGCAGCAAACUUGUACGAAAAUCAGAUAAAAAGCUAUUACUCACUAUCCAACAGUUUGUGAAAAAUUAAAAAAUGAUAAAUCUAAAUAUGACAGUGGGAAGAAUACAGGCAUUUACAUUAUCCCCCUACACAAUAAUGAUCUGGGUUAUGAUGAAAUAUAUAGGAGUCUCUUUUUGUAAUCUCAAAGAUCAUAUUGCCAAACAUAAGUGUGAAAUUCAUUUAGGAAAAAUUAAUACUGCAUUAAGUAAACAGUUCCUAGAGUACAGUCUUAAAAUAUUGACUGGGACAGAGCAAAGGUAGUAAGAUAUGCCAGUAUUCCUACUGAGAGAUUAAUGUUAUAUUCUCUUGAAAUUGCAAAAGUUAUGAAUGUCAUAAACAACAUCCAAGAUGUCAAGGUCCAAUCACAUGGAUUUAUUCAUGUCAAGAUAAAGCAUAUUAAUAUUCUUUU
rnacentral:lncRNA from 1 species